GAUGAAGAACGUAGCGAAAUGUGAUACUUGGUGUGAAUUACAGAAUCCCGUGAACCAUCGAGUCUUUGAACGCAAGUUGCGCCCGAAGCCAUCAGGUUGAGGGCACGUCUGCCUGGGCGUCACAUAUCGUUGCCCAAUGCCUAUUGCAGUGCAAUAGGAAUUUCUAGGGCGAAUGAUGGCUUCCCGUGAGCGUUGUUGCCUCGCGGUUGGUUGAAAAUCGAGUCCUUGGUAGGGUGUGCCAUGGUAGAUGGUGGUCGAGUUAGAACGAUACCGAUCAUGUGCAUGCUCCCCAAAAUAUGGCCUCUAUGACCCACACGCGUCUUUUGACGCUCAUGACGAGACCUCAGGUCAGGCGGGGCUACCCGCUGAAUUUAAGCAUAUCAAUAAGCGGAGGA
rnacentral:misc_RNA from 1 species